rnacentral:rRNA from 1 species
UACGAAGGGGGCUAGCGUUGCUCGGAAUCACUGGGCGUAAAGGGUGCGUAGGCGGGUCUUUAAGUCAGGGGUGAAAUCCUGGAGCUCAACUCCAGAACUGCCUUUGAUACUGAAGAUCUUGAGUUCGGGAGAGGUGAGUGGAACUGCGAGUGUAGAGGUGAAAUUCUUAGAUAUGACAUAGAACACCAAUUGCGAAGGCAGCUCGCUACGCGGUUAUUGACACUGAGGCACGAAAGCGUGGGGAUCAAACAGG